rnacentral:rRNA from 1 species
UGCGUAGGCGGUCCGCUAAGUUGGAUGUGAAAACUCUGGGCUUAACCCAGAGCCUGCAUUCAAAACUGACGGGCUAGAGUUCUGGAGGGGGUAGUGGAAUUCCUGGUGUAGCGGUGAAAUGCGUAGAUAUCAGGAGGAACACCGGUGGCGAAGGCGGCUACCUGGACAGAAACUGACGCUGAGGCACGAAAGCUAGGGGAGCAAACAGGAUUAGAUACCCUGGUAGUCCUAGCCCUAAACGAUGGAUACUUGGUGUGACCGGGAUUGAAUCCGGUCGUGCCGAAGCUAACGCAUUAAGUAUCCCGCCUGGGGAGUACGGUCGCAAGGCUGA